rfam:Pteropus alecto contig46751, whole genome shotgun sequence.
GUCUACGGCCAUGCCACCCUGAACGUGCCCGAUCUCGUCUGAUCUCAGAAGCUAAGCAGGGUUUGGGCCUGGUUAGUACUUGGAUGGGAGACCACCUAGGAAUACCAGGUGCUGUAGGCA